rnacentral:lncRNA from 1 species
GAUUAUAGCACUUGCUAAAGAAUUAGAGUAAUUCCUCGGAUUGGAGGUAGAGGCUAUCAAUUCGACUAAAAUAGUGAGAAAAUCUUUAGACUAAAGUUCAACUCUUUAGGCUAAAUCAAUUCAUAAACAUAGAGGUCUUGUAUUUUUCUUUUAAUUAUGGCUAGAUGUCCGUUGCUCUGUUCACUGUUUGACAGUAACUAAUUUAUAGGAUCCAACUUCGAUAGAUGGUAUCGAAAGUUGCAAAUAUUCAAGAGCACGAAUGGAUCUUAUAUAUGAUUACGAAUCUAGCACCUAAUGUUCCCACACCCAACACACAUGAUACAUUCAAAGGCACUUAUUAGAA